UUUGAUUUUUUGUUUUGAUUAUUGUGAAAUUUUGGGUUUGAAUUUGGAUACUUAACAUUUAGGUUAUUUAUUUAAUUUUCAGUUUUGAUUUUUGUGAAAUUUGGGUUUGGAUUUUGUGGUGUAAUAUGUAGAUAAUAUAUAUAUAUAUAUAUAUAUAUUUUAUGUACAAUUGAGAAUCUCGGAGUGAUUCAGAAAUUGUUGAUGCUAAGCCUCUUGUGCUUUCAAGAGGAACAUUGCAGACUGCUGAUUCAAAGGAACCAUUUGCAAGAAAAUGAGUUGGAGCAGCCUAACCUUGAAAAAGGUCUAAAGACGGGUACAAGUAUUGUUUAAGAAAUCAAGUGCAAGCUUUAUGCGAAGUUCCAUGCACUAAUUUUUGCCCAUUUGUUUAGAAGAAAAGGUUUUGAAGUAUCCCAUGACUGAUUGAAAAAAAAUGUAUCUUGAAGUUAGCAAUGCAAAAUUCGCUAAUUUUCAGUUUAACUAUUGAUAGAGAUUUGAUAUAAUCUAGCUUGUAGGGCAACUUAGACAUUUAUUUGCGAAGUUUGUAGCAAAUUUUUUAUAUUUUUUGUAAUUGGCUUAGAAGAUACCUGAAGAUGUUGGUUUUGUGUGUGCAUGUUUGAAUAUUUGUUUAGUUAAACAGUGAUCAUAUAUGUAAUAUAUUAUUGACAUUAUGAAAAUACGUUUAAUGAAUUUCUAUUUUCUGUGUAA